rnacentral:lncRNA from 1 species
AAAAUUUGUACAUUAAAAUGAUUUUACGACAUUUAAUAAAAACAUACCGCAAGCAACCAAACUACUAAUAAAUUUCUUUUAAUAAAAGCUGAAGCUCCAUUGAUGAAAACUCUCGUUAAACCUCAUAUUUAAAAAGCUACGAUAACAAUAACGGAGCCUCUUAACGCCGGUGACACUAAUACCCAUCCGAUCAUUAGCAGUUUUGCAGACGGUCAAGCAUCGCUGACCGCCAGGCAAUGGCUCCAAUCACAUGCUUAUGUAUCAGUUAUCACGUCACUUUCGCCCGACAUAUUAAAACAUAAAUUAGAGAUCAGGGCGGACUGCAUAUAAAAUUAUAAGUAAUCAUCACCAUCAUCAACAACAAUUGAAAAAGAAAAUGGAAAAUCGAAAUCUGAAAGACUCACCUUUGACAUUCAUAAACAAUAUAAUAAUAUCAUCACUCACAUAACGAAAACCUUAAUAAUUAUCAAUCUGAGAUUACAUGCAUUGUUAUUUGUUAAACACCCUAUUUAACCAUAGGCUUAAACGAGGUGAGACUCUUGAAAUGCUCCCAUGGCUUCUCCCAAACGACAGCUUCAAAUUUCUUGGUCGAAGGUCCGUCCUUGACGACCAAGAUCAGCCGGUAAUUGGUGCCGGAAACCACCUGAGUCUCGGCCUUCUCCACGCUCUCGAACUUCAACGCGCUCUUUGACCGUUUGUUGUACUCUGUCACCGCGAACUGCCCGAUCUCCAUCACGUGCUUCUCCGUGGGGUCUAUCGGAGUCCAUCCCCCAAAUAUAGGCUUAAACGAUGUGAGACUCUUGAAAUGCUCCCAUGGCUUCUCCCAAACGACAGCUUCAAAUUUCUUGGUCGAAGGUCCGUCCUUGACGACCAAGAUCAGCCGGUAAUUGGUGCCGGAAACCACCUGAGUCUCGGCCUUCUCCACGCUCUCGAACUUCAACGCGCUCUUUGACCGUUUGUUGUACUCUGUCACCGCGAACUGCCCGAUCUCCAUCACGUGCUUCUCCGUGGGGUCUAUCGGAGUCCAUCCCCCAAACAUAGGCUUAAACGAGGUGAGACUCUUGAAAUGCUCCCAUGGCUUCUCCCAAACGACAACUAACAAUUUCUUGGUCGAAGGUUCGUCCUUGACGACCAAGAUCAGCCGGUAAUUGGUGCCGGAAACCACCUGAGUCCAGGCCUUCUCCACGCUCUCGAACUUCAACGCGCUCUUUGACCGUUUGUUGUACUCUGUCACCGCGAACUGCCCGAUCUCCAUCACGUGCUUCUCCGUGGGGUCUAUCGGAGUCCAUCCCCCAAGCAUAGGCUUAAACGAGGUGAGACUCUUGAAAUGCUCCCAUGGCUUCUCCCAAACGACAGCUUCAAAUUUCUUGGUCGAAGGUCCGUCCUUGACGACCAAGAUCAGCCGGUAAUUGGUGCCGGAAACCACCUGAGUCUCGCCCUUCUCCACGCUCUCGAACUUCAACGCGCUCUUUGACUGUUUGUUGUACUCCGUCACCGCGAACUGCCCGAUCUCCAUCACGUGCUUCUCCUUGGGGUCCUCUAUCGGCUUCCAUCCCCCAACCAACGCUCCUUUACGGUCGCCGGCGGCCAGGAGAGGGACCACGGAGAGAAAGAGAACAAUAAGACAGCAAAAACGUUGAUUCAUUUUCGUUGUUUUGGUAACCGUUCACACCAAAGUCCGUGACUUCCGGUUCUUGAGUGAAUACUUCGCCUUGGCCCCUGGUUUUGGAUUUUAUACGCGGCGAGUUUUAGUGCACCGACACGUCUGUACGCUUUGUCUGAUUUGAAAAGGAGGUACACGUGACAGUCAGUGGUGUGAUUUCUGUGGUCUUAUCAUAUACGUGGCGGUUUACGAAAUGGGGCCCGCAUUCUUGGCGUGGCAGGAUGUGAAUACUGAGUGGGAAGGAGAAUGUAUGUGCUUUAGCACACCUGAGCAUUUACCACUGGAGAGUGAUACUGACGCAGGCAAAUAAUAAAAUAAUAAUAUCUAAUUGGGUGAGACUGAUUUCUUCUCUACACUACACCUUUUUUUUUAAUUAAAAAAAUAUAUAUUUUUUUAAAUUACUUAAUUAAUAUUUUUUCUUUGUCUAGAGAAGUGAUACUGACGCAGGCAAAUAAUAAAAUAAUAAUAUCUAAUUGGGUGAGACUGAUUUCUUCUCUAGACUACACCUUUUUUUUUAAUUAAAAAAAAAUAUUUUUUAAAAUUACUUAAUUAAUAUUUUUUCUUUGUCUAGAGAAGUGAUACUGACGCAGGCAAAUAAUAAAAUAAUAAUAUCUAAUUGGGUGAGACUGAUUUCUUCUCUAGACUACACCCUUUUUUUAAUUAAAAAAAUAAAUUUUUUUUAAAAUUACUUAAUUAAUAUUUUUUCUUUGUCUUUUUAAUUUUAUAAUUUUUAAUCAAUUCACUGAAAUAUGUUUUUCUAUUUAUAAAUAAAAAGAACAAAAUCUACUAUUUAAAAAUAACAUUAAUAAACUUUUUUCGUUAUUAAAAUUAAUGAAUAUCAAUAAAUUAAUUUUUAUCAAAUACAAAAAUUAAUAAAUAUUAAAAAAAAUUCGUAUAUAAAAAAUAUAAAAUAGAGCUCAUAAUAUAUUAAAAAAGGGUAAAACCAUGAAUUAAUUGUUUAGUUUAUAAAAUAUAAGAAGGUAGGAAGAAUAUCCAUUGUAAAAUUAAAAUGAAAAAAAGAAAGAGAUAAGUAAUUUUAAAUUUUUAAAUUUUUAAAAAUAAAUUUGUUUUGUAAAAUAAAAAAAAAAUUAAUGAAUUUAAACAACCUUAUCCUAUCCUAUUUAAUUUAGGUAGCCCCACCAUAACUAAUUAGACAGCAGAGAUAAGAAAAUUACGUGAACUUUAAAUGUGAUACUUUCUUCUGGAACAUUACAGAAUUUCCAACUAUGAAUCUUUCGAUUUUUUUUCUUUUUUUACUUUUAGUCAAAAUAAAUUAUCAUUAUUAUUAUAAUUAUUUUAUCGACAACUAUUAAUAAAAGCCCAGGAUAUUAAAUUCGAGUGAUGGAUAAAUAAAAAAUUGUAUUUUCUUCCUUCUCCAUCCCCGAUGCGCCGUGCUCAAUUUCUUCCUUCUCCAUGCAUGCUCAACGGCAUAGGGAUUGCCACUUAGGCUUGUAGUUUAGUAGUGAAUCAUUAUUUUUAAAGUUAAGUAUAAUUAUGAGGGUAAUUAUUUGAGUUCUUAUGGACUCAAUUUUUCUCAAUUAAAUAUAAUUAAGUGAAGACUUCUUAUAACGUCUUUCUCCUUUGGGAAAUGUGAGUGGAGUAGAAACAUCUUCCUCUGUGAGAGAUAUUUGGUUGGGUUUGUACUUUAUAGAAUAAAAAUAUAAUAAUAUAAGUCUCAUAUAUAUAUUUAAUUAUAAAUAUUAGUGUAAUGACUGACUGUCAUAACAAUUAUAUAUAUCUCUGUGUGUAAUACAGUAAUAUGAUGCUUAUUUGGUUAAAAAAAAAAAAAAAAACAGCAUAGAGGUUGUUCACUUUUCCCCUCCCUCACAAAGGACACAUAGCCAAUGGCAAGGCCGAAGCGAACACAACCACCAACAGUGCCAGUUCUCGCUGGAAAUAUGAGGCAGGAGGGUGAUGCAAGUUUGGGAGGCUGCUGGCGGGACGAAGAGCCGUGGCCUGCAGCUGAUCGACGCGGCGUGGACGAUGGUGACUAGCGGCUGCAAAAUCAUAACCCUGAAAUUUUAGGGCUUCCUAUUUGUUUUGGUUUGGGUGGUUUUUCAUAAUUUAUUAUCAAAUAAAUUAUUUUGAUUGAGUUAAAAAUAAAUAAAUAAAAAAUUGAAAGUUGAUGUUGUUUGUGAUGCUUUCAAAGCAAGUGUAUGGUGCUAUUGCUAUGGAUACUGGGACAGGCAAUGAUGCUGGAGUUUGAAGAAAAUUGAGUCCCAAAGAAACAAGAAGCGGUGAUGGUUGCUGAUAGACGCGGCAAAAUUUAUCGAUCCUUACGAGGGUGACAAAAAAGUAACCGUAGAAUUUAAGACACGCAUUCGACUAGUAACGCGCAAGAUGAGCACACAGGAAAGCACGCUCCUCUCACAAAUACACAAGCAAGCAUUCGCAUUUCAGCCACCCUACUGUUCUCAGUGACUCUCGGAUGACACUCUCAUGCAUUUCACGGCAUUCAUCGCCCUGAAACCUUGGACAAAGAAGGAAGUUGGUUAUUAUUCGUAAUUUCAGACAACGGUGAUACAAUUUAAUCUUAUUACACACAUUAAAAUUUUUAUAAACUAAUAUUGCCGGCACUAGCAAAAAAAAAUUUAUUUUUGUAAAGUUAAUAAAUGAAUAGUCUACUAAUUUAUUGAUAAAUAAAUAUUUAAUAAUUUACAGAGAGAUUUUUUUUAAUAAAAAAAAGAACAACCAUUACGGAUUGUUUUGGUCAUUGCAAGUUCCGGUUAGGCCAAGGUACGGUUAUUUGACAACAAGUUGGUGAAGACGAAGGCAUUCAUGAACUAGAUGAAGUUAUUUUUGGUCUACACUACAAAAAUAUGAUAGAUAUUGAGAGCCUUUUGAAUUAUCGGAGUGAAAAUGAUACACUGAUGGAAUCAUCUAUUGACGAAGAGAUUAUUCAAGUAUAGUGGAUUUCUCUAGUGAUGAUGAUUAAUGAUGAUGAUCAAUAAGAUAGUUUUGUUUUACAAAAUGUUUUCGCAAAAAGGCAUUUCAAGCAAUAGUAGCCUUAAAUAAUUACUUUUAACACACAAAAAAAAAGAAUACCAAGUUUACACAAAAAAAAAAAAAAAACAAGACUAAGUUCAAUUUAGGAACAAAUAAAAAAUCAAUAACUUUAGAUGUAGAUUUUGCAAAGAGUUGAAUGCAGAUAAUUGAAGUUGUUUAUAUUUUAUUUACUAUUAAUUUUUGUGUUUGAUUAAUUUUUAAUUUAUAUUUUCAUUAGGCCCUAAAAGAUUUAAAAAUAUUAUUAUCUUAUGCAUUAGACAAAUUAUUAAUUUAAUAAACUAGCCUAAAUCAGAGAAUCAAGAUUAUUAACUUAUCAAAUAUUUAUUUAUCGUAAAUUUACUGUAUUGUAAUUAAGAAUUUUUCACAAGGGAUAAUGAUCGAUUAUUUGCUGGCGAGAGCUCUCUGAGAACCUUUUUCUUUUUAAAUAAAUAUUGUUUUCCAUAAAAUCGUAUAAAAGCAAGUGCCACCUAGCUACAUCUAAUAAAUAAAUAAAUUUAUCCAACUUUGUUUAUUGCAGACCUUAUUUUUUACAUAUUAAAUGCUAGUGACGAGGCAUCGUGGAAGGAAUUCACUGACAAUUCAGUAUGCUGCGGAUAAUGCAUGUAUAAAUUUUUAGGGGCGCGUAAAUCAGUUUCCGUUCAAACUACAACACAUUCAAUUUAGAGUAUUAGGAUUGGAUUCAAAUGGUGAACUCAAUCUAAACCAAACUGAAUUUAAUUCGAUUAAAUUCAUAUUACAAAUUUAGGCUACAAGAGUUUCAAUCACUACCUCGUAAAACAAGUCAAACAUAUGGAAAAAAAAAAUCAAUAAAAAUCACAUAUCUAAGUCACUCCAAUCUCACAUUCAAAAUCUCAGGACCCAGUUUUCAAGAUUCAAUUUUGAGUCCCUUUCCAUAAGUAUCGCAAGUUUCGUACAUCAAUUAACAUUCAUUUUAGUUUUCUCAUGAAUGUGAUUGAAUGAUUUACUCUUGCUAUGGAUCAUGAGAUGUGAUUGAAGAAGUUCUUAAAUCUAUUUAUUAGUAUAGGGUUAGUAUACAUUAUUAGAUGAAUGAUUUAUCUUUAAUGUCAUGUGGUUGUCAAUGAAUGGUUAACUCCUUAUUUAUUAUGAUCUAUUGAUUGUAACUUAUUUUCACUUAUAACUCACCAUAUUUAAAGUCUUAGAGUAUAGCUCUAGAUAACUAGAGCUAGACUUUUUUCAACUUACUCAUAUUGAUUGUCACUCAAGAGAUGUAAACAUAAACAAAUUAUCAACAUGAGAAUAUCUUAAUAAGAUCACAUACUUAAGGGAUUGAGAACUCCUCUCCUAUAAAAUCUAUGUAUAUCACCAAGAGUUAUCGCUAUGUUUUAUUGUCACAAUCAACAAGCUAAGUAUACUUCAAAAUUAAAAUUGCCUAAGCUCUAUAUAGCUCAUAAUUGAAUCGCCGAGCUCAGUUAUAAAUUGCGAGAGCUAAUUGAGUGCAACUCAAUUACCAUCGCCACAACUGAGUAUAGCUCAGUAUUGAAAUCACUACAACUGGCAAAUUGUAGCUCAGUUAUCUCUUACUACAGCUUUGUACAUCAUAGUUAUGAAUUGCUAGAGCUAAGUUUAACUUAGUUUGAAAUCAUUAGAGCUGUGAGAAAGCUCAACUACAGACUCCAAAAUAACUUAGAAGUUUACUAAUUAACAAAAGGCGACUCAGCAGCGAGUUGCCACAUGUCACCCCCACAACAUUUUCUCUUAAGUUUCUUGUGCGUUAAUUAUUUCAACACAAGAAACUAGAUGGAUCUUGUUUUGGGUAAAUUUAGGACAUUAUUUUAGAAAAAUAGGCAAGUACAUGCGGCAGUAGAGAAUAAACGAGAAGAAAAGUUAACACUUUUAAGUGAAUAAGGGAUAGCUCAAGACAAGUUAGAGGUAAUCUUUGAAAGAGAGAGAGGAUAACUCCAGGAAAUUUGCCCAGUUUAAAAGUGAAAGUGGAAUUAAAAAAUGAUAAUUGGAGCCCUCACGUGUGGGCUGCAUGCCAUCAGAAAAAGGGUUAAAUAUCUUGUCUAUUAUGCUAAAAACAAGAGACCAAUAGCAGAAUAAUUAGCUGACAUAGCAAUGAGGAAAGGACAUGUUAGCACUGCUUAAUUAUCCCUUAAAAAAUAGUAGGAUCACUGCACCAGCUUCUGCCACGUGGCAAAGAGCAAUGACCACAUGAAGGUUAAAGGAAUGAAUUAUUCACCAAACUUACUUGGUCACUAUUUGAGGAAGGCAGCACCAAUAGAAAAUCUCCGUAUGAUAGAAAAGAUAAAAAUGUCCCUAGGGCGUUUAUCCUAGAAAUUUAACUCAGGACAAGAUAAUAGACUUUUUCUCCAUAUUUGAUUUUUUGAGAGGCUACUUCAUGUUCUUCUUCCUGCAAUUUUAGGAUUUUUUAUUUCAUUUUUAUACCUCCAUGGAAGAUUUCAGUGAUCUCAUCUCUUAAAGAAACUUUUUCAUUAUUUUUUUCUUAGAAAACUAUCUAAUCUUCAUAAGACCCACAUCUUCCUCAUGUUAUUAUUCAUCCUAAACAAACUUUAAUAAGAUUUUGUUAAUAUUAUAAAUAAAUAAAUAUAUAUAUAGGACAGUUAUUAUUCAAUCUGAAAGUCCUGGAUUGGAUCAUUGUCUGGGAAUCCACUGGGAAUCCAACGACCCCUGGUGUCUUUUUUUUUUAAUUUGUUGCUGCACAUGGUGGGGCCCACCAUGUGCAGCCACUAGGCUUUGUCCCAAAAACUGUUUCACAAUUUCCUAUAUAUAUAUAUGUAAUACUUUUUUUAUUUAUUAGAUUGGAAAUAAAUUACUCCCGUGGAUAUAAGCCUAAUGACGAAUCAUGUAAAAUCUUAUAUGCUCUUUAUGAUUUACGUGUAUUUCCUACUUAUUACAAUGGUUUUAAACUUCAUAUAUGAGCUAACAUGAGAUAUACUGAUAAGUUCUCUAGAAUUAUCUCUUGAUUGCACCUAGGGUGCCAUUAAGCUCUCUUAAGCUUGCCAUAUCAACGCUCUAUGCUAACUCCAACGAGCUUUAUUGAGUUAUCUAAGUUAUUCCAAAUUCAAAAUAUUUUAGUUCACCUUUGAGAUCACAUCAGCUAUAUCUUUUGCCCCAAAUGUUAAAAAAAACAAAAAAACCUAUCUCUGCUAGCCCAAUCUCUCCAUAAAUAUAAAUUUAUUUAUUUAAAUCAAAUUUGACUUUGAUCUGGUAAGAACAACCAAUAAAUAAUUCAAAUCAAAUUUUAGUCAAAAUCUGGUGAGAACUUGAAUAUUUUUAUAUACAUAUACCUUCUUUUAUAUGAUGUUGUCUUGAAGCUGAAGCUAGGUUAGCAGAAGUAGUAGUACUAGUACUAGUGCUUCUCAUGGGCGGAUAGAAAAUGCAGAAAUUAUAUUUUGAACUAUAUAUGUUCAAUAAAAGGGAAAAAACUCAAUAUGGUGUGCUAACCACUAAGGGAAGCAUUCAUUAGGCACGCAAAUAUACAAUAGGCGUCUUUUCUUAUAGGAAAAGCAUCAAUUUUUAUCAUCAUCUCAUCAAACACUAGCAUUGCUAUAAUUCCUAUUCAGGGUCCCCCAAUGCCUGUUACGGAGACUUGAUUGAGAGAAACCUCCACAGUUUACAAGAGUUUGCAGCUACUGAACAUCCCCAUCUGUCCCAAAAACAUAAGCACCUGCAAUAUCCAAAAUUUGUCAAUACAUUUGUAUCAAGAAACAGUAAACAAUUAAUGUCGCGGUAAGAUUAUUUACCAAGUGUAGGCAUUAGAAAGGCCAGAGCAGCAAUGCCAGCAAUCUUAAGGGGCAGCCCUGUCUUGAUCAUAUCUUGAAUUUCGAUGUGCCCGGUUGUGAAUCCAACAAUAUUUGAAGGGGUUCCAGUCGGCAACAAGAAAGAAAAUUGUGCUCCAAUUGCUCCAGGAACCAUAAGAAGCAAUGGAUGAACAUGCAUAGUUUUUGCUAUUUGGAUCAGAAGUGGAAGAACGAGAGUUGUUGUGGCAUUAUUUGAUGUGAAUUCAGUAAUAAUCGCGCUAAUCAGACAUACGAUAGGUGCAAUGGCUAAAUAUGGCGCCGCCUCCAGGAAAUCCAAUGCUUUUGACAGAUCAUCAGCAAGACCGCUAGUCCUGACUCCAUCAGCUAUAGCAAAGCCAGCCCCUAAAAGCAAUAUAAUGUUCCAAGGUAGCUUCUUGCAUUUGUUCCAAUCCAUCAAUUUUUCUCCCUUUUGCUUCAUGCUCGGAAUUAUGAACAACAAUGUUGCCAUCACAACCUAUAUUUGUGUGUGUGUGUGUGUGUGUGUGUGUAUACAUAUGUAUUAAUAAUUCAGUUAAAAAUCAUCCAAAAGCUUGAUUAAACAUGUCUCAUUUAAUUAUGUUCUCAAAUGAUAAACAAAAGACCAAAGAGUACUCACACUAGCAGUUCCAUCACCAGCACGGUCAUUGAAGAGUGCUCCCCAACCUGGAAUGUCAUCUGUUAUUGAUCUUGUCAUCCACAAUGCUAUUAGCAUCUGCAUCAUUUAUCUUAAAUUAACUUGAAGACAUUUCCAAUAACAUUAUGCACAUCACUUAAAAGGGGAGAAAAAAAAAAAUUACAGCUCAGCUCACCCCAAAUACAGCUAGUACCAUCUUUUCAGCAAAAGCCAUUGGACCUGCCAAGAAAAACACCAAACAAUAGAAUUAAGCCACUGAACAUUAAUUAGCUGUAGCUGUCAUUAAUUGGACAGACAGCAGGGUCUUACCUAACAUGUCAAGCUCUCUCUUGAGAUUUGCUUUGUCCAAAUACUCGGAGAGAGCAGGUCCAGAUCCCCUUGAACAAUAGAACAAGCACAAAAUAGCCCACAAAGCAACGAAAAUCACUAAAGCCAAAGGGAACCCAAAACAGAACCAGGUACUGAAGCUGAUCGGGUUUGCUUCUGGAAAAUAGGUCUUCCACAUCCCGACCAAUAUUAGAUUAACACCUGUUCCAGUAAGUGUGCUCAUCCCUCCUACGGCUGCAGAGUAGAUGACCCCGAGCACCACAGCUUUGCAAUACUUCCUAACAAGGGUUGAUUGAAGAGGAACCUCUGGCAAGUUCUGUAAGAUCCCAGUGGCCACUGGCAUCAUGAUCACUGCUGCUGCCACGUUAUGCAUCCACAUGCUCACGAAUGCUGUCGUGCCACAUAUCCCAAGAAGCAGCAAGGGCGGAUUCAUUGGCUCUCCACAGAAUAGAAUAGUUAUCUGUAGUUAUUAAUAUAUAUAUGGUAUAGGAUUGUCCAUACAUAAUUAAUUCAUCUUUUGUCACUGAUAAUUUUUCUGAAAAAGAAAUCGUAACAAUUAAUGACAUGAUGAUGAUGAUGCAUUACGGGAACUUACAUUUAAGGCCAAUCUUUUGUGAAUGUUGUAGUGCUCAACGGCAAGAGCAAGAAUAAAGCUACCAAGAACGAGGGCAAUAACAUCAUCCAUGUAAGAAUGAGCAACGGUGUCAGCAGAAGAGAUACCAAACAGAGGAAACAGAAACAGAGGCGCCAUAGAGGUAAUGGGCAUGGGUACGGCCUCCGUGAGCCACCAAGCGAAGACCCAAGCAAGAACACCCAACAUGUUCCUGCUUGUCGCCUGCCCAUCGAGCUUCACACAUACACAUAUAACAGCGCACAGGAGAGGUCCUAGGAGGAUGUAGAAAUUGUUUGGUGUGAAAAUGGUUUUCAAUGUGAAGUGGGAGCUUGGUGACCGUUGGAUUUGACGAUGGGAAGGUAGGAGUGGCGCCUUGAUGUCACCAGAAUUUGGAUGAGCUUCGUGGUCACCGUUCAUUUUGCAGUGAACGUGUAACACGAUACGAGAGAAAAUUGAAGGUGUCGUUCGAAAGUGGAGGUUGCUGCAUGCCUUGGCCUUUUUAUAUGAAAAAUGUGAAGAGGAGGUGGAAGUAGACAACUUCUCUUUACCAUGACCCAACGACAGACGGCCAAGUGGGCACCAAACCUCCCCGAUUUUAACUGAAAAUAUACUCCUGCGUUGUAAGAAUUGAACAAGUCGUGUAUCUUACCGUGGACCGAUGUGAUAUUUGAAUUAAAAUAUUCUUACCGUGUAAGAAUAUACUCAAAAUAAUAUUUUUUAGUUGAACUUUUUCCUUUUAGAUAAGUCUAAAACGAUGUUGUUUCAAAUGUGUUUUUAUCCAUGCUUCGAUUCAUUAUCUGAAAAAUAAAACUAAAAAAUCUGAAUCAGACUGCCCCAACUUCAAAUUCAUUAUCCACUCACUACAUGACUCGUAACCUCAUCAUAUCUGAAUAUAUACAUGUAUAUAUACACACACACAUGCCCCAGAUCUACUGGACUUGAAAAUGAUGUAUUUUUUACAGGUGGGCAAAAUUUAAUUUACAAAUUUGCAUGAUGAUGAAGCUUCCGUGUCAGCUUCGUUAAGUGGUAAUCAAGAGCGUACUGGGGUUUCCGAUAAAUCAUGAUAUUGUAUAUUUGUAUGCAAUCAUCAAUCGGGGUCCGAGGAUUGAGGUUCGUAAUUAAUUAAUAAAUAAAAUGAAAAGAGAGAACCUCAACACCACAAGCUAAUCCAAUUAUUGCUCGACUAUCCAUCACAAUAAUUUGAAAACCCUGUUCAUAGUUCCACGUGUCGGACGAUGUUUUUCGCAAUAAUGCAACGUUUGGCACAAAACGUGGGCUCAGGGGUCCACCCCGAAAUUGACCUGUUGGGUCAUAUGUCUUGUCUUUCACCAAUCGUUAAAAAGCACAAAAAAAAAAAAACAAAAAAAAAAUCUAGGAUUCCCUCCCUCUCCGGAACUCUCUUAAACUUUUAACAAUUUUAUAUUGGGUCCUUCUAUCUUACAUGCAUGUAAGAUACAUUCCUCUCAUAUGAAUAGUGUGUGGAUCCCACACAUGCACUAUUCAUGUGAGGGGGAUGUAUCUUACAUGCAUGUAAGAUAGGAUUUGCCUUUUAUAUUUUAUACGAUGUAAUAAUAGUAUACAAAUAGAAUUGAGCUUCUUUAUUUAUUUAUUUAAUACUGAUUACACACUAAAUUAUUAUAUUACACAAAUAUUUAUAAUUACUAUUAAAUAUUACAUUGAUAUUUACAAUCAGAUAUAUAUAACUGAGACUUAUAUAUGAUUACAUUAAAUUCUAUGAAAUAUAUGUCCAGAUAAAUUAUUCUUACAGAUAAGAGAUGUCCUACUUCACUUAUAUUUCAUAAAGAAAAAAAAGUUAUAAAUAUUUAGAUCCCACAAUAUUUUCGUGGGGGCUUGUGAGGUCAGCAACCCACCACUUCGACCAAAGCUGAAGUGGCAGCUUCUUUAUUUUUAAAAUUACUAACUAAUCAAUAGAUAAAUUUUCAGUCAAGAGUGCUCAAUUGAAAUUUAGAUUGCGCGAAAAUCUUUAUUCAAAAUAAGGUGGCGGUGAAUACUUUUUUUUUUUUUUUCUUUUUUGGGAAUGAAAAUUUACAUUUUGUUUUCUUAGAAUUUGCACAUUUUGUAGCGGAUCUAGUUUUCCACGUACAAGACAAUCCCAGGGUUUGCAUUUUUUAAAAACUUGAAUUAAUAUGAAAUUUAAAUAGGCGUGAAUGAUAUAUUAAAUAUAUGAAAAUACUUAUACAUACAUAAAAGAACCCACCCACGUAAAAAACUAGUAAUAGUAAAUGAAGAAUAAGAUCCUAAGCUAUGUCCAUUUUUAUCCAAUUUAAUUUUUUUUCCCACUCGUAUGCAGGAAAAGAAACUGCACACAAACCUGGUCGUCUAAUUUAGAGAGUACGUCAACACAGGCAACUCAAAGAAAAAGAACAAUUAGAGUUCGAGAGUUUGGAGUCGAUACUCCUCCAUAGGCGGCCGCUCGAUUAAUGCCAGCUACAAGUUACCUCUUUCAUUUUUAUUUUUCCUUUUCAAGUAUUUUAAGUAGACUUUAAUUUUACUAAAAAAUUAAGAGAAAUGCUCUAAUGUAUGACGUAAUGAUGGGUAUGCACAUGCAUGCAUGCAUAUAUAAUUUUUUUUUAGUAAUGAUAUAGCCACAAACUCUUGUACAAACUUAUUUUGUACAAACUGAUGUGGCAUGAUAAAAUUAGUUGAAUUAAAAAUCUUUUGGCCCACAUGAUUUAUUUAUAUUAUUUUAUAUUUUCAUUCAACCAAUGAAUUAAUGCCACAUCAAUUUGUACAAGAUACGUUUAUACAAGAGUUUGUGGCUGUAUCAUCACUCAUGUUUUUUUAUUACAUGAGACCAAUGCUUAUGAUUACAAUUCAUAUUACAUGAAAUUAUUUAUUGAUAUAUUUAUAAUCAAACAAUUACUGAGAUAAAGAUUGACUUUUUAUCCUCCUAAAUAUUUAAAGAAUUUUUUAUUUCAGUCUCAUUUUAAAAGAGAAAAUAUUAUCUUCACACAAUUAUCAUUUAAAAAGUAAAUUUUAGAUCCAACAAUACUUUAGUGCAGGGGCAGCAGCCCUGCCCCCGACUGCAUGCAUAUAUAAUUUAAGAAACAAUAUAUUCCCCUGAUUUGAGCACUACUGAAUUUUUAAUCUUAAUAUAUAAAUAAAAUUUAAUUUCUUUUAUUUUUUUAUUUAUUAACAAUUAAUCAAUUAUCAUAUUCUUUCCUUAUCUAUAAUUUUUUUUUUUUUUUUGAAAGGAAGAAAUUUCAUUAAGCAAAACUUACAAACUGUUUAACAACCACAGAGGUGGAACAACAUUCCACUCCUGGGGACCUGACAAAGAACCUGUUGCCCUCGCAACGGAGUGAGCAGCAAGAUUCGCAGAUCGACACACAAAGGAGAAUUGCACUUCUCCGAUAAACUUAACUAAAGCUUGACAGUCUUCAAUAAUCAAACCAAACCCAUUUGGACUUGAAAACUGUUCAACCAAAGCUCAGAACACUUGUAGGCAGUCCAUCUCUAUGAUAACACAUGGAAUCUGCAGUUCUUUCAUCCAACUAAGAGCCUCUCUUAUGCCAAGAGCUUCAGCCUCCCUUGCUCCAAAAAUUCCUGCCACACUCACACACCUUGCUGCCACAAAACCUCCUUGUGAAUUACGAAUCACACAACCGAUCCCAAUCUUCCCUUGAGACUCAAACACAGCUGCAUCCACAUUGCACUUUACCCACCCAAACUUAGGUUGCUCCCAACACAAUGCCCCAUGAACCAAUCUGUGAGUAUCAUCAUUAACAUCAAAUACUUGCUGUUUUGCCGCUUGCCACUGAUAGAGAAACUGUCCAGCAGAGUUGAGAAUUUGACAAACUGAGCUGGUAGUGUUGUUCCAAACUUUGUUGUUUCGAUUUACCCAAAUCCGCCAACAAAUCAUCAUAGCAGUAUUACACUCAUCUUUACUGCACCUUGUAAAAACGUGAGCGAGCCAGUCCAAAAAAUUAGAGCAAUAGCCAACAAAACCCACCGAUGAAGAAGUCCAACAAGACUUAGCAAAACUGCAGGCAACCAAGGAGUGUAAAACUGUUUCUUCAUAGGCAUUACAUACAGAACACAUAGCUGGAACAUCCACCCUUUUGGAAAUUAAAUUGAGUGCUGUAGGCAACACGUUGUGUGCAGCUCUCCAAAUAAAAUUCUUAACCUUGUUCGGCACUUUCGAGUUCCACAAUUUCCUCCACACAUCCGCUAAGGAACCAGGAGUGAUAGGAUUUAAAACCUUAUAGCAACUGCGAACUGAAUAACAUCCCCGGGAAUCCGCCAUCCAAUACCACACAUCAUCUUCGCGGCGGGAACUAAGAGGAAUCUUCAGAAUCAACUCCUUAUCUCUUGAAUUGAAGAUGUCCGAAACAACAUUAUAGUCCCAAGCUCGUUGGUGAGGCAUCAUUAAGCUGCUGACAGGAGCUGCAGCUAUCUCCUCAUUAAGAUUUGUAGAAACACACCCAUCUUGGAGGUCUGGAAGCCAAGGAUCUUUACCAAUGGAUAUCGAAUGACCACUGCCAACCUGCACUCUACUCCCUUGGACCACCACUUCCUUUGCAGCCAGAAUGGAACGCCAUACAUAGCUGGGAUUAUGCCCCAACGAAGCUCGAACUACAGAAGUUCGCGGAUAGUAACGAGCUUUAAGAAUUCUCGCCAUUAGAGAAUCAGGGCAGGUUAAUAACUUCCACAUCUGCCUUCCUAACAUCGCAAUGUUAAAUAAAUAAAGUUGCUUGAACCCAAGUCCACCACACCCCUUUGGUUUGCACAAGUAUUUCCAUCCUUAUCUAUAAUUUAAACGACUAUGACUGAGACAUAAUUUUCUCGAUUUUUUCCUUACAAUUAUUGUCUGCCCUCAUCAUACUCUAUCCUAUAAUCUGCCACGUAAUUGCUAAUAUCGCCGUCCUGGACAAGUGGAUGGUAGUUUAUUAGUUAAUGUUCCUAUAUUCUAGGUGUCGUUGCAUUUUUAAAAUUGCGGUUGGCGGUAGCCAUUUGAUUUGCUCGUCUGGUUGUCCAAUCGUCAAUCAAUUCACCUUUUCCAAGACUCUGUGAACGAGGUGUUGCGUGCCUUGGCCUCUUGGCGCUUCAAAACUCCCAA